rnacentral:rRNA from 1 species
CCCUUAGAUGUUCUGGGCCGCACGCGUGCUACACUGACCGGCGCAACAAGUUUCUUUCCUUGGCUCGAUAGGCCUGGGUAAUCUUUGAACGCCGGUCGUGAUGGGGAUAGAUCCUUGCAAUUUUUGAUCUUCAACGAGGAAUUCCUAGUAAAUGCGAGUCAUCAUCUCGCGUUGAUUACGUCCCUGCCCUUUGUACACACCGCCCGUCGCACCUACCGAUUGAAUGGUCCGGUGAAGCCUCCGGAUUGGCGUGCACCCUCGGGUGCUGCCGAGAAGUUGGCUAAACCUUACCAUUUAGAGGAAGGUGAAGUCGUAACA